rnacentral:rRNA from 1 species
UACGGGGGGGGGCAAGCGUUUGUUCGGAAUUACUGGGCGUAAAGGGCUCGUAGGCGGCCAACUAAGUCCGACGUGAAAUCCCCAGGCUUAACCUGGGGAACUGCGUCGGAUACUGGAUGGCUUGAAUUCGGGAGAGGGAUGCAGAAUUCCAGGUGUAGCGGUGAAAUGCGCAGAUAUCAGGAGGAACACCAGUGGCGAAGGCGCCGCUCUGGGCCGAGACUGACGCUGAGGAGCGAAGGCGUGGGGAGCGAACAGG